rnacentral:rRNA from 1 species
GAUGAACGCUGGCGGCGUGCCUAAUACAUGCAAGUCGAGCGAACGGACGAGAAGCUUGCUUCUCUGAUGUUAGCGGCGGACGGGUGAGUAACACGUGGAUAACCUACCUAUAAGACUGGGAUAACUUCGGGAAACCGGAGCUAAUACCGGAUAAUAUUUUGAACCGCAUGGUUCAAAAGUGAAAGACGGUCUUGCUGUCACUUAUAGAUGGAUCCGCGCUGCAUUAGCUAGUUGGUAAGGUAACGGCUUACCAAGGCAACGAUGCAUAGCCGACCUGAGAGGGUGAUCGGCGACACUGGAACUGAGACACGGUCCAGACUCCUACGGGAGGCAGCAGUAGGGAAUCUUCCGCAAUGGGCGAAAGCCUGACGGAGCAACGCCGCGUGAGUGAUGAAGGUCUUCGGAUCGUAAAACUCUGUUAUUAGGGAAGAACAUAUGUGUAAGUAACUGUGCACAUCUUGACGGUACCUAAUCAGAAAGCCACGGCUAACUACGUG